rnacentral:rRNA from 1 species
AUUGAACGCUGGCGGCAGGCCUAACACAUGCAAGUCGAACGAGCGGCGGACGGGUGAGUAAUGUCUGGGGAACUGCCUGAUGGCGGGGGAUAACUACUGGAAACGGUAGCUAAUACCGCAUACCAUCAGAUGAACCCAUAUGGGAUUAGCUAGUAGGUGCGGUAACGGCUUACCUAGGCGACGAUCCCUAGCUGGUCUGAGAGGAUGACCAGCCACACUGGAACUGAGACACGGCCCAGACUCCUACGGGAGGCAGCAGUGGGGAAUAUUGCACAAUGGGCGCAAGCCUGAUGCAGCCAUGCCGCGUGUAUGAAGAAGGCCUUCGGGUUGUAAAGUACUUUCAGCGGGGAGGCGUUACCGACAGAAGAAGCACCGGCUAACUCCGUGCCAGCCGCCGCGGUAAUAC